GUGACUCUAGAUAAUAAAAUAUUGACCAAUACUCUAUUUCUUUUAUUAAUUAUUUACACAAAUAUUUUGUUUAUAAUGAAAUAGAAAUCAAAUAUUUGAAUUUUUUAUUUAGUAUUUUCUGUUAUUUAUUUAAAUAAGCUUUUUUGGUCAAAAAUAUAUUAAUAAAAUAUGCAUAAUCCAUGAUCUAGUCAUAAAUUGUGCCAAGGCUUGUGCAAAUUCAUGUGUGAUUUAUAAUUUAUAUUUUUUUAUUUUUUGAUAGUUAAUGCCUUGAAUGA
rnacentral:lncRNA from 1 species